GCAAUUUUACUGAUCAGCAGAUGCCUGUCAGAAGCAUGGCUGGAGCUCCUGGAGCAUAUGGCUUCCGUGAUCAGGAGCAUGAGCGCACACAUCACACGCGACAUCACUUAGUAUGACAUGGCAUAGCAACUUUCUAACCCAGUCUGAACGGUAGCUGGAGGGGCUGGGAUUUGAUAGUCCUCCUACAUAGCAGUAUACUAAUUGCCAAUCAUUGCGGUGCCCUAAUCUUAAUCCAAUACCAGUGUACUAAUCGUAAUCCUGGAUAUAGGUAUUUAUCCUAAUCCUGGGGCCGGGUCCCAAUCCUAAUCCUGGGGCCGGGUCGCAAUCCUAAUCCUGGGGCCGGGUCCCAAUCCUAAUCCUACACUCGGGUCCUCAUCCUAAACCUGGCCUCAACUUUGUAUCCUAAUCCUGCCCCUAUUUUCGAAUCCUAAUUCCUGCCUGACCGGUACCCGAACCCAAUCCCUAAUCUUUGCAUCCCUCUGAACAUGCCUAUAUCAACGCCAUCGCUUAACCGCAUUACUUACGAGGUUAUCUCUGACUUUUGGGCCCGUUUAACUGCUUUUGCGGCACGGGACUACUUGCCAAAACAUUGGGAACAUGAACCUCACAAUCACCCUUUCUUAUAUGUCAACGACGCAGACAUGGUUGUUUGCCGUUUACCGAUGUACAAUGACGAAGAUUGAGGGCGCACGUCGGAGCCUCUAUUUUCUGUUUAAGCGUACUAACUGAGGCCGUGUGUCCAGUGAAGUUAGUACGGCCUGGCCGAGUUCUUUUUGAAUAAGGCCCACAGUGUUGUGCGGGAGGCGCUCCUAUGGGCGUUGCACUCGAC
rnacentral:lncRNA from 1 species